AAAAAAAGAAAAAAAAAAUGAAAAGGAAAAAGCCUCGGGUGAUGCAGCCAAUGGAUGAAGUAAAUAGACUUUGGGUGUUUGGGUUAUGAGGUCGACGGGUUUGAGGGGUUCUCUUUGGGUGAUGCAUCUGAAGAAGGAGCUUUGGGCACUAGAAGGAAUUGCUAUGUAUUUGUGUUUUGUUUGGCAAGAAAGAAAAUUGGGUGAGAAUAAAUGAGUUAUGAAUUGACUUGCUGGGUUGUUUUUGACAAAUUUUGAAUUAUAUUCUUGAAUUUUUUAUUUGUUUUGAGUUGAUAUUGGUUUAAAUUUCUGGAUUUUUUGAGUUAUAUUAUUGAUG
rnacentral:misc_RNA from 1 species